UCCAUUCUUAAUGAACCACAACUACUACUUAAAUAAAUAGUACCAAGGAAAGAUGAAUAUCAAGUUCCAGAAUUCACAAAGAACAUUCGAAAUGUAACACAAUACCACACAAGCAGAAACAAGUUCAAUUUCAAGAUGUGAUCUAACAGGAAAAUAAAAGUUGUUGAUAAUUGAAGACCCACAUUGGGAAUGAAUAAAAAUUAAAGGGUGAAGAUAAAAAGUGGUUGGGUUGCAACAAACUUGGCUAGUCAUUUUGCUAUGUCAAGUAACCUAAUCACUUAUAUAAACUCAGAUUAAUAUAAAUUAAUAUGUAAUUUCACCAGCACUCUCUUCGAAUUUUACAUGGUAUCAAAGACUAUCCAACUUGAAUGUUGGGUCACCCGCAAAUGUGUUCGCCUACAAACUUCACGCUCCAGAUGUUUAUGCCAAUGUCUGAGGGGGGGUGCGUUGUCCCACAUUGGUUUAGGAUAAGGUGUUUAUGCUAUAUAUAAGACUUAGGCAAACCUCCUUCCCUAGCAAGCUUUUGGAGUCGAGUUAGGCCCCAUCCAUUUUCUUUACAUAAGAACAGUCCAUUUUCUCAACAUAACAUUAGAGCCCAUAUUGGGUUGUGAGUUUUUUUAGGCGCAUAAGGCUGUAUAAUUGGGCACGUAUUAGAUUAAUACUAACUAAUUGUCAAGUUACAAUCAUGCAGUUGCACUUGAGAGGAGAGUGUUGCAACAUUGAGUUGACUAGUCAUUUUAAUGCGUAAAGUACCUAAUCACUUACAUAAGCUCAAAUUAAAAUAAAUUA
rnacentral:misc_RNA from 1 species